rnacentral:rRNA from 1 species
AGCAGCCCAGAGCCUGAAUCAGUGUGUGUGUUAGUGGAAGCGUCUGGAAAGGCGCGCGAUACAGGGUGACAGCCCCGUACACAAAAAUGCACAUGCUGUGAGCUCGAUGAGUAGGGCGGGACACGUGGUAUCCUGUCUGAAUAUGGGGGGACCAUCCUCCAAGGCUAAAUACUCCUGACUGACCGAUAGUGAACCAGUACCGUGAGGGAAAGGCGAAAAGAACCCCGGCGAGGGGAGUGAAAAAGAACCUGAAACCGUGUACGUACAAGCAGUGGGAGCACGCUUAGGCGUGUGACUGCGUACCUUUUGUAUAAUGGGUCAGCGACUUAUAUUCUGUAGCAAGGUUAACCGAAUAGGGGAGCCGAAGGGAAACCGAGUCUUAACUGGGCGUUAAGUUGCAGGGUAUAGACCCGAAACCCGGUGAUCUAGCCAUGGGCAGGUUGAAGGUUGGGUAACACUAACUGGAGGACCGAACCGACUAAUGUUGAAAAAUUAGCGGAUGACUUGUGGCUGGGGGUGAAAGGCCAAUCAAACCGGGAGAUAGCUGGUUCUCCCCGAAAGCUAUUUAGGUAGCGCCUCGUGAAUUCAUCUCCGGGGGUAGAGCACUGUUUCGGCAAGGGGGUCAUCCCGA